UGACCGGUUUCUCUUCAUAACGCACAAGUCUUCCACCUUUUACUGAAGACUGCCGUGGAGAGGAACAGCCAUGAGUUUAAGAUAUUUUCGGCAGGCUUUGCCGAAUGGCUG
ensembl:snRNA U5 U5 spliceosomal RNA